GUUGGUGAACCAGCGGAGGGAUCAUUACCGAGUUUACAACUCCCAAACCCCUGUGAACAUACCUUAAUGUUGCCUCGGCGGAUCAGCCCGCGCCCCGUAAAACGGGACGGCCCGCCAGAGGACCCAAACUCUAAUGUUUCUUAUUGUAACUUCUGAGUAAAAAUAUAAAUUAUUUAAAACUUUCAACAACGGAUCUCUUGGCUCUC
rnacentral:misc_RNA from 1 species